rnacentral:rRNA from 1 species
GACGAACGCUGGCGGCGUGCUUAACACAUGCAAGUCGAACGGAAAGGCCCUGCUUUUGCGGGGUGCUCGAGUGGCGAACGGGUGAGUAACACGUGAGUAACCUGCCCUUGACUUUGGGAUAACUUCAGGAAACUGGGGCUAAUACCGGAUAGGAGCUCCUGCUGCAUGGUGGGGGUUGGAAAGUUUCGGCGGUUGGGGAUGGACUCGCGGCUUAUCAGCUUGUUGGGGGGGUAGUGGCUUACCAAGGCUUUGACGGGUAGCCGGCCUGGGAGGGUGACCGGCCACAUGGGGACUGCGAUACGGCCCAGACGCCUACGGUAGGCAGCAGGGGGAAAUAUUGCACAGUGGGGGGAAGCCUGAUGCAGCAGCGCCGGGUGCGGGAUGACGGCCUUCGGGUUGUAAACCGCUUUCGCCUGUGACGAAGCGUGAGUGACGGUAAUGGGUAAAGAAGCACCGGCUAACUACGUG